UACAGAGACCUCAAGCGUUAUCCGGAAUCAUUGGGCGUAAAGCGUACCGAUAGGUGGUUUACAAAGUCAGAAGUGAAAUUCCAAAGCUCAACUUUGGGACUGUCUUUUGAAACUUGUAAACUAGAGGGGCAAAGAGGAAGCUGGAACGAACGGUGUAGUAGUGAAAUGCGUUGAUAUCGUUCGGAACACCAAUAGCGUAGGCAGGCUUCUGGGUGCCACCUGACACUGCUAGGACGAAAGCGUGGGGAGCGAAUGGG
rnacentral:rRNA from 1 species